UACGAAGGGUGCAAACGUUGCUCGGAAUCACUGGGCGUAAAGGGUGCGUAGGCGGGUCUUUAAGUCAGGGGUGAAAUCCUGGAGCUCAACUCCAGAACUGCCUUUGAUACUGGCAACCUAGAGGCUGGAAGAGGUUAGUGGAAUUCCCAGUGUAGAGGUGAAAUUCGUAGAUAUUGGGAAGAACACCAGUGGCGAAGGCGGCUAACUGGUCCAGAUCUGACGCUGAGGUGCGAAAGCGUGGGGAGCAAACAGGGAUUAAGAAACCC
rnacentral:rRNA from 1 species